rnacentral:rRNA from 1 species
UGCCAGACUCCUACGGGAGGCAGCAGUGAGGAAUAUUGGUCAAUGGGCGGGAGCCUGAACCAGCCAAGUCGCGUGAGGGAAGACGGUCCUAUGGAUUGUAAACCUCUUUUGUCGGGGAGCAAAGAGGCCACGUGUGGUCAAAAGCGAGAGUACCCGAAGAAAAAGCAUCGGCUAACUCCGUGCCAGCAGCCGCGGUCAUACGUAGGAUCCGAGCAUUAUCCGGAGUGACUGGGUGUAAAGAGUUGCGUAGGUGGCAUAGUAAGUAGCUAGUGAAAUCUGGUGGCUCAACCAUUCAGACUAUUAGCUAAACUGCUAAGCUCGAGACCGUUAGGGGUAACUGGAAUUUCUAGUGUAGGAGUGAAAUCCGUAGAUAUUAGAAGGAACACCGAUAGCGUAGGCAGGUUACUGGGACGGUUCUGACACUAAGGCACGAAAGCGUAGGGAGCAAACGGGAUUAGAUACCCCAGUA